rnacentral:tRNA from 1 species
GCCCAUGUGGCUCAGUAGGUAGAGCACUUCCAUGGUAAGGAAGGGGUCAUCGGUUCGAAUCCGGUCAUGGGCU